AACGGCCGCGGUACCCUGACCGUGCGAAGGUAGCAUAAUCACUUGUUCUUUAAAUGGGGACUCGUAUCAACGGCACCACGAGGGUCACACUGUCUCCCCCCUCCAAUCAGUGAAACUGACUCUCCGUGAAGAAGCGGGGAUUUUACUAUAAGACGAGAAGACCCCAUGGAGCUUUAAACCCGACAACAACUCCACUCACUCAUAUCCUCCUAUCAACUGGAGCCCUGUUUAAUCGGUUUUAGGUUGGGGUGGCCGCGGAGCAUAAAAAAAUCUCCACGAAGAAUGGAUUUAUACCCUAAUCCAAGAGAUACACCUCUAAGAAUUAGCAAACUAAUAUUUAAUGAUCCGAUACUUAUUCGAUCAACGAACCAAGUUACCCUGGGGAUAACAGCGCAAUCCACUUUGAGAGCCCAUAUCGACAAGUGGGUUUACGACCUCGAUGUUGGAUCAGGGUAUCCUAGUGGUGCAGCAGCUACUGAAGGUUCGUUUGUUCAACGAUUAAAACCCU
rnacentral:rRNA from 1 species